AACGUAGGGGACAAGCGUUAUCCGGAUUUACUGGGCGUAAAGCGCCCGUAGGCGGCUUGAUAAGUUGGACGUGAAAGCUCCCGGCUUAACUGGGAGAGGCCGUUCAAAACUGACAGGCUAGAGUGAGGAAGAGGAGAGCGGAAUUCCCGGUGUAGUGGUGGAAUGCGUAGAUAUCGGGAGGAACACCAGUGGCGAAGGCGACUACCUGGCCUGUUCUUGACGCUGAGGCGCGAAAGCUAGGGGAGCAAACGGG
rnacentral:rRNA from 1 species